rnacentral:rRNA from 1 species
CCUACGGGUGACUGCAGUGGGGGAUAUUGCACAAUGGGGGGAACCCUGAUGCAGCGACGCCGCGUGGGUGAAGAAGCGCCUCGGCGCGUAAAGCCCUGUCAGCAGGGAAGAAAAUGACGGUACCUCAAGAAGAAGCCCCGGCUAACUACGUGCCAGCAGCCGCGGUAAUACGUAGGGGGCAAGCGUUAUCCGGAUUUACUGGGUGUAAAGGGGGCGCAGACGGGGAUGCAAGCCAGGAGUGAAAGCUCGGGGCCCAACCCUGGGACUGCACUUGGAACUGGGUGGCUGGAGUGCAGGAGGGGCAGGCGGAAUUCCUGGUGUAGCGGUGAAAUGCGUAGAUAUCAGGAAGAACACCGAUGGCGAAGGCAGCCUGCUGAACUGCAACUGACGUUGAGGCCCGAAAGCGUGGGGAGCAAACAGGAUUAGAUACCCCUGUAGUC